rnacentral:rRNA from 1 species
UACGUAGGGUGCAAGCGUUAAUCGGAAUUACUGGGCGUAAAGCGUGCGCAGGCGGUGAUGUAAGACAGAUGUGAAAUCCCCGGGCUCAACCUGGGAACUGCAUUUGUGACUGCAUCGCUGGAGUGCGGCAGAGGGGGGAUGGAAUUCCGCGUGUAGCAGUGAAAUGCGUAGAUAUGCGGAGGAACACCGAUGGCGAAGGCAAUCCCCUGGGCCUGCACUGAC